rnacentral:rRNA from 1 species
AGUGAACGCUGGCGGUAGGCCUAACACAUGCAAGUCGAACGGCAGCACAGUAAGAGCUUGCUCUUACGGGUGGCGAGUGGCGGACGGGUGAGGUAUACAUCGGAAUCUACUUUUUCGUGGGGGAUAACGUAGGGAAACUUACGCUAAUACCGCAUACGACCUACGGGUGAAAGCAGGGGAUCUUCGGACCUUGCGCGAUUGAAUGAGCCGAUGUCGGAUUAGCUAGUUGGCGGGGUAAAGGCCCACCAAGGCGACGAUCCGUAGCUGGUCUGAGAGGAUGAUCAGCCACACUGGAACUGAGACACGGUCCAGACUCCUACGAGAGGCAGCAGUGGGGAAUAUUGGACAAUGGGCGCAAGCCUGAUCCAGCCAUACCGCGUGGGUGAAGAAGGCCUUCGGGUUGUAAAGCCCUUUUGUUGGGAAAGAAAAGCAGCAGGUUAAUACCCCGCUGUUCUGACGGUACCCAAAGAAUAAGCACCGGCUAACUUCGU